CGAAUAAUACAUUUAUUCAAGAAAUAGAGGCUACACCACAUUCAAAAUUCAAAAAUCAAUAAACAUGUAUAUAAACAUCAACAGUUGCAGCGGAAUAUAAACCAGAGUAAUCAAAAUAUGUACAUGUCAUGAAUCAAUAAAUUACAUCAACAUAGAUGCAUCUCAAAAAUCCCAAACAAACGGGUAAUCUCCAACAUAACAAAAUCCAAAGAUAACCUAAUCUAGACCGACACAACAAGCCUAGAUCAGAACCGACUCAACACCUAUAUCGGAGAAAGCUCCCGAUAUCCACCAAGCACAAAAACUCAUCAAGCAUCUAGUCCUGCACAACGUCUACACAUCCAUACAGAUAGGCAGGCGGUCCAUAACAAAUCCACUGGGGGGUAAGUAUUACAUCAUCAUAAUCCAAAUAACAGUUAACAUGAAUAUUUCAAUUUAAACAUCAUGCACUUGAUCAAUAAUAAUAUUCUCAUAUAUAUACUUACAUCAAAACUCCAAUAUCUCACAUCAAUAAUCAUCAAUCACAUGUGUCAUGAACAAAUAUCAAUUCACAGUUAUUCAUACACAAUCACCAAUCAUAUACAUCAUGAACAAUCACCAAUCACAUGUGCCAAACAUCAAUUCAUAAUUAUUCAUACAUAAUCACCAAUCACCAAUCACAUUUAUCAUGAAUAAUCAUUAAUCACAUUUCAUGAGUUCAUCAAUUCACAUAAUUAAUCAUAACAUGACACAACAAUACAUCAAAUACAAACAUCACCAUCAAUCACUUACAACCACAAGUACAUCAAGUAAUUUCACAACUAGGACUCAUGUCACCUCAUGAUAUGAUCCUAGACACAGCACCUAUAUGCAUGCGGCACCGGUCAUCACCAAUAUUUAGGCCGUCGCCCAUCAUCAUCAAAAUUAUCACCAAUUGGAUGUAUAAACAUAUCCGUCAUCGCCAAAUAUGUAUGUAUGAACAUAUAACUCAAUAAUAAUACAUAUGUCCACACAACAACUCACCAAAUCAUCACCAAUAUUUAUUUGCAUUUAUGCAAUCACACCAAUAAUUCAUCACCACAUACAUAAUUAAUACCGUACCAUAAUAACAAUGUAUAUGGACGCACCAAUAUCAUCUCAUCAUUACAAUAUUUCUCAUAUACCAAGUAAGAGAACAUAAAACACAUCAUGUUAAUAUCAUAUCCAAAAUACAAUCAUUCAUUCAUACAACUUCACUUAGUCAUACAAGAAUGGUCACAACAAUUCAUAAGACAAUACGACACAAAGAUUCUAGACCCCUUUUUCACAAGGUUAAUUCUUUCAUAAAAACACCCUUAGAUGAUUAGGAUAAAGUCCCUACACUUAAAAAUAAGUUUGGAAACAAUUUGGUUGAAGAAAAAUGCAUUUUAAAAGUUUCUGGUCAGGCAAAAUCGUAGUCCGAUUUUUCCCCAUCGUAGUACGAUUUUUUCGAGCUGAAACACCCCAAAACCUGGUCAAAAUCGUAGCCCGAUGAAUAAAAUCGUAGCCCGAUUUCUACUUGACAGACAACAUCAGAUUUUCCAAUUUUCACGUUUUCGCGCGUAAAAACCAAACCGUUAACCCGUUUUCGAUGCCGUUUUCACCUACACACUCCUGACACUUAGCCCUAUCUUAAUGUACAGAAAAAUUCAAGUUUCAACAUUUCCAAAUUCAUUUUCCAAAGCCUUACACAACACUCAUUUUUCCAAAACGGUUAACAAUUGAAUUUUCACCUAAAACUCCCGUUUUUCUCCCAAAACGACUCGACUAUCACAACUACAACCUAAAAACAGAAAUCCCAUCAAGUUUAACUCAUCCAACCACAUAGACAUCUCAAUCAACAACUUUGUAUAUCAAAUUUUACUUUGGGUCAUUCACAUGAACAUCUAGCACAACUUCACCAAUACAAACAACUUAUUUCAUAAAAUGGGAUGUCCAUGAUAUCAUUCAACAACAACAACAUAUCUACUUCAACAACACUUCAUUUAGACAUGAAUUCAACCAUAAUUCAACAACACAAUAUUCCAAUCCAACAAUUUGAGCAAAACUCAUAAGUACCCAUUUUCACCAAAACAACAACAACAACUUAUUUCACAACAACAAAUUAUGAAUCAUGCAUACCCAAGCCAUGAAUUAACAUCCAUAACAUCACUUAACAACAACAACAUCUAUUGAUCAUGAAACUUAUUACAAUUCAUCAACAACAUAGCAUAAUUCACCAAUUGAGCAUAAUUUACAAACUACCCAUUUUCAUACAUCAUGAACUUGCAAUUUCAUCAUCAACAAUUCAUUUAACAUCAAAUUAACAUAUUCAAACAUAUUUCUACAACAUAAGUACGAAUUUCAAAGAUUGGGUUCAUGAUAAUCACUUAUUCCCAUAAUCAAUUAUGCAUAGAACAAGAGAAAAAGAAUUAACCAAAUGAUUAUGAUAAAGACUAACCCCCUUACCUUAGAUGAAGAUUAAUCCCAACUUAGGCUUCAAUUUAGCUCCUAAGUUCACUCCAAUCCUUAAUUCUUCAAGCUCUCCCUCUUCUCUCUAACCCUUGUUCUUCUCUUCUCCCACUUUCUCUCUCUACAUCUCUCUAGAAAAUAUCUUAUGAAAUGAAUGAAGUGAUAUUCUCCUAAGACAACUCAUUAGGUAUAACCCUUAAUGGGCCUAACCUAGUUUCUAGUGGGCUUAACCCAUUUCUAUUCAAAC
rnacentral:lncRNA from 1 species